UACGGGGGGAGCAAGCGUUGUUCGGAUUUACUGGGCGUAAAGGGCGCGUAGGCGGCGCAACAAGUCACUUGUGAAAUCUCCGGGCUUAACCCGGAGCGGUCAAGUGAUACUGUCGUGCUAGAGUGCGGAAGGGGCUACUGGAAUUCUCGGUGUAGCGGUGAAAUGCGCAGAUAUCAGGAGGAACACCAGCGGCGGAAAGGCGGGCGCUCUGGGCUGGAACUGACGC
rnacentral:rRNA from 1 species